GUGUCAGCAGCCGCGGUAAGACGAACCGUGCGAACGUUGUUCGGAAUCACUGGGCUUAAAGGGCGCGUAGGCGGGCUGUCAAGUCCGGGGUGAAAUCCUCCCGCUCAACGGGAGAACGGCCUCGGAUACUGACGAUCUCGAGGGGGAUAGGGGCACGCGGAACUGUGGGUGGAGCGGUGAAAUGCGUUGAUAUCCAUAGGAACUCCGGUGGCGAAGGCGGCGUGCUGGAUCCCUUCUGACGCUGAGGCGCGAAAGCCAGGGGAGCAAACGGGAUUAGAUACCCCCGUAGUCC
rnacentral:rRNA from 1 species